AAACUUGAAUGGACAUUUGCUAUUUUAUACCAGCAGCAAAACAAGUUCUUAACACCCCCUUUUUAUCCCUUUUGCUAGGGUUUUGGCCUCAAUCUCGGAGCGUCGCCGCACCACCAUCAGACUUGGUGGCCGAUCACGCGCAGAAAGGACACGAUGAGAGGUCGGAGGUAAGUGUUAUUCUCCUUUUAUUCUCUUUAUGCAAAAGAAAAGAAAGAAAGACUAAAAAACAUCCAGAAAAGAAAUGAGAUCCGAAGGCUAAAAGAAAAAUUGAAAUCGCAAAUCACCUUCUUUUUUAUCUGUUUUUUUUUUGUUUUUUUAUUUUUUUACUAAUAUCGAAUCCCCCCUUUUACAAUCUGUUUUGUGUGUCUUUAUAGCCAAAUACAUGUUACUAUUAUAUCACUAUUCGGCCUUGCUUCUGCUGUUGCAUUUUCAUUGUGUUUGCUUUUUUUUGGGUUACUUUGCAGGUCUGCUGGGAGUUAACGGGGGCAGGUUUCCGUUUUGGUGCAAGGAGCGAGUGAGAGCCGACCCUCGAGCGGAGUGCUCGUUGGGGACGCACAUGGAGGCUGCAGCACCUAGGGUUUCCUCUUCUUCUUUUGCUAAAUUUUUUUUUUAGAUUUUGGGCUACUUGAGCUUAGGGUUUUGUUGUAAUUUGGUUUGGGGUGGAUUUAAUCCAUUUGGGCUUUGUACUUUAGCCGGGGCCAAAAUUGGGUUGUACAAUAUGAAAAAUAUUUUUUAAGUAAAAUGAAUGCUAAACAAACAACUUUUGAAUGUAAUUUUUGACUUUUCAAAAGCACUUUUCUUCAAAAGGAGAAGUUAAAUUUUUUAACUUUUUUCUCUCAAAAGCAAUUUUGAUAGCUUAAUUACAUUUUCACUCCUUCAGCACAUAGUACUUUCCCUUCUCUAGUUAAUUGCUUAUGUAACGCCCCAAUUUUCGGAAAUUCUGUGAAUGUUGGCAUAAGUUUAAUUAUGUUAGUGGGCCUCUAGAAAGCCAAGCUUAAGAUAGAACCCGACAAUUUUAGUUAAUUUUUG
rnacentral:lncRNA from 1 species